ACUCGUCAAUUGAUUCAAAACUGCGUUUCUCUCCGGCUAUCUGAUUUGUCUACCGAGUGCUUUUCGCUUCAAGCUUUUGGGUCAAGCGGCGGAGUUCAACCACCAUCCGCUCAUGAGUACCUCUGCCAAUUUCUUCGGUUUCGUCGCGAGCGGUUACCGCAAAGACGAUCCGCCGGCCAUCUACCUCGACAACUUCCGCAUC
rnacentral:misc_RNA from 1 species